rnacentral:rRNA from 1 species
CCUACGGGAGGCAGCAGUGGGGAAUCUUGCGCAAUGGGCGAAAGCCUGACGCAGCAACGCCGCGUGCGGGAAGAAGGCUUUCGGGCUGUAAACCGCUUUCAGCAGGAACGAAAAUGACGGUACCUGCAGAAGAAGGAGCGGCCAACUAUGUGCCAGCAGCCGCGGUGAUACAUAGGCUUCAAGCGUUGUCCGGAUUUAUUGGGCGUAAAGAGUUCGUAGGCGGUCGAGUAAGUCGGGUGUGAAAAUUCUGGGCUCAACCCAGAGACGCCACCCGAUACUGCUUGACUUGAGUUCGAUAGGGGAGUGGGGAAUUCCUAGUGUAGCGGUGAAAUGCGCAGAUAUUAGGAGGAACACCGGUGGCGAAGGCGCCACUCUGGAUCGAUACUGACGCUGAGGAACGAAAGCAUGGGUAGCAAACAGGAUUAGAUACCCUGGUAGUCCAUGCCGUAAACGGUGGGCACUAGGUGUGGGUUUCUAUUAACGAAAUCCGCGCCGUCGCUAACGCAUUAAGUGCCCCGCCUGGGGGAGGUACGGUCGCACGAACUAAACUACAAAGAAGUAGACGGCGNGAGACGUGCCGAACGGACGACGACGAGGGAGUAGG